GUGGCCACGACAUGGACUGCCCAUGCCAGCUUUCCCGACCUUCCUUCCAGUGGAAGGCCCGCGAAAGCGGGGACCACCUCCGGGCUAGCUCACCAGAACUGUGAAAGGACACUCACCACGCACCAGGCGACGAUGCCGGAACGCGGAAGUACGCGAGCCGGACUGCCCCUGGGCACGGAACUACACUACCCAGACUGCCACGGGGCGCGCAACUACCCUACCGUGGAUGCCCUGGAGCGAGGGACUACAACAUCCAGAAUGCUGCGAGGGGCGGGACCGCAGCAUCCAGGAGAAAUUGUGAAAAAUCAGAAAGUAAAAUCUAACUUUCGGGUCUAUGAGAAGGGUGGUCAGAUGGUGGAUUGGAAACAGUGUCAGCAUGACUCUCCCACUUGGAAAGACAAAAUGGGCUUAAUUAUUAGAUAAGGAUACGUUUCCAACUGAAGGUGGCAACGUUAUGCUGGAAGAACAUGUCAGGAAGACCACAAAAUUUCAUGACUGUACUUGCUACACUUUCAGCAGAAGAGUUAUACAUAUUUUCAAUUCAACAAAGAUUAAGCCAAAAAGAAUUCUUAGAACAUUCCCACUCUUCUUUGGCACAUCAAAAGGCAACAAAUGUCAUUUUCUCCCAUGUUUUUAUGUGCAGUUUAGAACAAAGACCAAUUAUCUAUGCAGCUGUCCACAGUGGAUAAAACAAAAAGCAUACAUUUGGUCCAGAGUUAAGUCACCUGGGUUGGGCCCAUCCAAGGAAGUUUGAUGUUUCUACUCUCAUGAAAAGUACCAAUGGCACUGCACAGUGAUUAUCUUAGAUAUUAAGGAUAAACACAAAUUUCUCCUUAAAUUUCCAUUUAUUGGAAAUGAUUGGAGGGAGGGAACUUCUCCCUCACCUCCACACUGCCUCUUUUCCAACUCUUCUUCCAACACAAAAUAGUUUAAACAGCAAGCACUUAGAGAGCUUUUAGCCUUGCUUGUUGAUUACAAGGCCCAAGUUAGUGUAUGGUUUGCCCAUCGGAGGAAAGCUAAAACAUGGGCCUUCAUGGGUAUUAAAAUUGAAGAAACCUUUUCCAGCAUUUUUUCUAUUUUCUUUAAAGUAACAACCUAUGGACUUCCCCAUCUGACAUUUUCGAGUGAUCCCACUGUGUGAAUGAAGGACUACUUCAGGGUUUGAGGGCAAAGCUGAAAUCUUAGCAACUUACCAGUGAGCAAAGGUAGAACCCAGAGCCCAUCUCUCCUUUUCCAGGCUGCUGAGUAAAGUCUGGCUCAAUCAACCUAUCAAUGAAGCAGUGCUUACAACAUUCUCCAAGACCACCCAAAACCCAAACUGGAAAUGAAUCAUGACUAAUCUGACUCAUUUUGGCUCACACAGUGCCCUUCCAAUUUGUAUUUACCUUUACCACCCAGGACCUGACCUUGGACAUGUGUACCAGGAUGUAAGGCAAUAAACCUAUUCACAAUUCCAAAAGGGCCUGGUCCUCUAUGAAGAUUUCCUGAAGGCUACUUACUUUCUCUACUCAUUAAAAUUUUUGCUUAACUUCAAAUUUCUGAAAUAUACCAUAUGUGAAAAAUUUAAA
rnacentral:lncRNA from 1 species